UACGUAGGGUGCAAGCGUUAAUCGGAAUUACUGGGCGUAAAGCGUGCGCAGGCGGUUAUGUAAGACAGAUGUGAAAUCCCCGGGCUUAACCUGGGAACCGCAUUUGUGACUGCAUAGCUGGAGUACGGCAGAGGGGGAUGGAAUUCCGCGUGUAGCAGUGAAAUGCGUAGAUAUGCGGAGGAACACCGAUGGCGAAGGCAGUCCCCUGGGCCUGUACUGACGCUCAUGCACGAAAGCGUGGGGAGCAAACAGG
rnacentral:rRNA from 1 species